UACGUAGGGUGCGAGCGUUGUCCGGAAUUACUGGGCGUAAAGAGCUCGUAGGUGGUUUGUCGCGUUGUUCGUGAAAACUCACAGCUCAACUGUGGGCGUGCGGGCGAUACGGGCAGACUGGAGUACUGCAGGGGAGACUGGAAUUCCUGGUGUAGCGGUGAAAUGCGCAGAUAUCAGGAGGAACACCGGUGGCGAAGGCGGUUCUCUGGGCAUUACCUGACGCUGAGGAGCGAAAGUGUGGGGAGCGAACAGG
rnacentral:rRNA from 1 species